rnacentral:rRNA from 2 species
GUUGUCCUCUGAACUCUAGAAGAGCUUCUCCUUCGGGAGCAGAGUGACAGGUGGUGCAUGGUUGUCGUCAGCUCGUGUCGUGAGAUGUUGGGUUAAGUCCCGCAACGAGCGCAACCCUUGAUCUUAGUUGCCAUCAUUAAGUUGGGCACUCUAAGGUGACUGCCGGUGACAAACCGGAGGAAGGUGGGGAUGACGUCAAAUCAUCAUGCCCCUUAUGACCUGGGCUACACACGUGCUACAAUGGACGGUACAAAGAGCUGCAAGACCGCGAGGUGGAGCUAAUCUCAUAAAACCGUUCUCAGUUCGGAUUGUAGGCUGCAACUCGCCUACAUGAAGCUGGAAUCGCUAGUAAUCGCGGAUCAGCAUGCCGCGGUGAAUACGUUCCCGGGCCUUGUCCACACCGA